rnacentral:rRNA from 1 species
AGAGUUUGAUCCUGGCUCAGAGCGAACGCUGGCGGCAGGCUUAACACAUGCAAGUCGAGCGCCGUAGCAAUACGGAACGGCAGACGGGAGAGUAACACGUGGGAACGUACCCUUCGGUUCGGAACAACCCAGGGAAACUUGGGCUAAUACCGGAUACGUCCGUAAGGAGAAAGAUUCAUCGCCGAAGGAUCGGCCCGCGUCUGAUUAGCUAGUUGGUGAGGUAACGGCUCACCAAGGCGACGAUCAGUAGCUGGUCUGAGAGGAUGAUCAGCCUCACUGGGACUGAGACACGGCCCAGACUCCUACGGGAGGCAGCAGUGGGGAAUAUUGGACAAUGGGCGCAAGCCUGAUCCAGCCAUGCCGCGUGGGUGGUGAAGGCCCUAGGGUUGUAAAGCCCUUUCGGCGGGGAAGAUAAUGACGGUACCCGCAGAAGAAGCCCCGGCUAACUUCGUGCCAGCAGCCGCGGUAAUACGAAGGGGGCUAGCGUUGCUCGGAAUCACUGGGCGUAAAGCGCACGUAGGCGGAUUGUUAAGUCAGGGGUGAAAUCCUGGAGCUCAACUCCAGAACUGCCUUUGAUACUGGCGAUCUUGAGUCCGGGAGAGGUGAGUGGAACUGCGAGUGUAGAGGUGAAAUUCGUAGAUAUUCGCAAGAACACCAGUGGCGAAGGCGGCUCACUGGCCCGGUACUGACGCUGAGGUGCGAAAGCGUGAGGAGCAAACAGGAUUAGAUACCCUGGUAGUCCACGCCGUAAACGAUGGAUGCUAGCCGUUGGCGGGUUUACCCGUCAGUGGCGCAGCUAACGCAUUAAGCAUCCCGCCUGGGGAGUACGGUCGCAAGAUUAAAACUCAAAGGAAUUGACGGGGGCCCGCACAAGCGGUGGAGCAUGUGGUUCAAUUCGAAGCAACGCGCAGAACCUUACCAGCCCUUGACAUCCCGGUCGCGGGAACCAGAGAUGGAUCCCUUCAGUUCGGCUGGACCGGAGACAGGUGCUGCAUGGCUGUCGUCAGCUCGUGUCGUGAG